CCUCGGCGUGGACGGGGUCACGGGCGUCGACGGCUUGCAGGGCCGGCGCAAGCGCGCGGUCGCGCCGUGCGCCGCAGGC
rnacentral:tRNA from 1 species